AGUGAACGCUGGCGGUAGGCCUAACACAUGCAAGUCGAACGGCAGCACAGUAAGAGCUUGCUCUUACGGGUGGCGAGUGGCGGACGAGUGAGGAAUACAUCGGAAUCUACUUUUUCGUGGGGGAUAACGUAGGGAAACUUACGCUAAUACCGCAUACGACCUACGGGUGAAAGCAGGGGAUCUUCGGACCUUGCGCGAUUGAAUGAGCCGAUGUCGGAUUAGCUAGUUGGCGGGGUAAAGGCCCACCAAGGCGACGAUCCGUAGCUGGUCUGAGAGGAUGAUCAGCGACACUGGAACUGAGACACGGUCCAGACUCCGACGGGAGGCAGCAGUGGGGAAUAUUGGACAAUGGGCGCAAGCCUGAUCCAGCCAUACCGCGUGGGUGAAGAAGGCCUUCGGGUUGUAAAGCCCUUUUGUUGGGAAAGAAAAGCAGCAGGUUAAUACCCCGCUGUUCUGACGGUACCCAAAGAAUAAGCACCGGCUAACUUCGUG
rnacentral:rRNA from 1 species